rnacentral:rRNA from 1 species
GAUGAACGCUGGCGGCGCGCCUAACACAUGCAAGUCGAACGAUUAAAGCACCUUCGGGUGUGUAUAAAGUGGCGAACGGCUGAGUAACACGUGGGCAACCUGCCCCUCUCAUUGGGAUAGCCACGGGAAACCGUGGAUAAUACCGAAUACUUCGGGACUUCCGCAUGGAAGACUCGAGAAAGCUCCGGCGGAGAGGGAUGGGCCCGCGGCCUGUUAGCUUGUUGGUGGGGUAAUGGCCUACCAAGGCAAUGAUGGGUAGCUGGGUUGAGAGCCCGACCAGGCAGAUUGGGACUGAGACACGGACCAGUCUCCUACGGGAGGCAGCAGUGGGGAAUCUUGCACAAUGGGCGAACGCCUGAUGCAGCGACGCCGCGUGCGGGAUGAAGGCUUUCGGGUUGUAAACCGCUUUCAGCAGGGACGAGGCGAAAGUGACGGUACCUGCAGAAGAAGCCCCGGCUAACUACGUG